AUCGCUACCGGCCUUUGGCUAAGAUCAGAAGUGUAGUAUCUGUUCUUAUCCAGUUUAAUAUCUGAUAUGUCCUCUAUAUGAGGGAUUAAAUAUUAAAUGCAUUUUACGAGCAGUGGGAGGUGGCUUGGGGCUUGCUCUCUUCACUCCUUGCAUUGACCUGGUAUUACAGUGCCACCAGGAACGGUGCACCAUUC